UACGGAGGGGACUAGCGUUGUUCGGAAUUACUGGGCGUAAAGCGCGCGUGGGCGGCUUUGUAAGUUAGAGGUGAAAGCCCGAAGCUCAACUUCGGAAUUGCCUUUAAGACUGCAUCGCUAGAAUUGUGGAGAGGUAAGUGGAAUUCCGAGUGUAGAGGUGAAAUUCGUAGAUAUUCGGAAGAACACCAGUGGCGAAGGCGACUUACUGGACACAUAUUGACGCUGAGGUGCGAAAGCGUGGGGAGCAAACAGG
rnacentral:rRNA from 1 species